ACUGUUUCCUUCAGAAACAUCUUUCCCAGUGGAUUUUAAUCAUUUGUGCACAUGUUUCUAACCUCAUCACACUGCACACAGACAGAAUGAGCAUGACUGAGAAUCACAUACAAUGGCGUAGGAUGAGAAAUUUAUAUUAUGACCUCCAAGUGCACAUACUUUUUAUAAUUCUACUCAAGAGUUAGUUGUAGGAAACAGAAUGUAUUUCAAUGUAGGCUCAGAAAAAUGGAAAACUAACAUUUAUUAAGUCCUAUCAUGUUCCAGAUACAUUCAGAACCACCUUUGGCCCUAAAGGGGCUGAGUGAAACAUAAUCCUAUUUGAAGAUCCCUGCCACCGAACAACAACAAAGGAAGCCCAAAAGGUGGGCAGUCGUGGGAGAGGUGAUUGAGCAGGAGACAGCUAUGGUAAGUGGGAAGCCCUUUGGAUUUGGAGUCACACCUGAGUUCUCUGCGAUGAGUGAGUACUGAAUACUAGUACUGGGUUACCUUUAGAAAAAAAAUGAGAUCCUCACAAAUAAAAAUGUGCUGUAAACAACAUCAGGAACCAGCACAAGUGAAUUAUGGUGAUGAGUGACUUUUAUGAAAAGUUUUAUGAAAUAUUUUGUUCCAUAGGUCCUGGGUUCUCCUGUUUCCUUUGGAGGCUCUGUGGUUCCACUGCUUGGAAUUGCCCUGGAUAAAACAGAUCCCAGCAGUGUCUUUUAUGAAAAUUAUCAAUGCAACACUAUUAAUCAUUUAGCAGCUGGUACAAGAAAGAGCUUUUUGGAGACUUGGAUUGAUGUACAAUUCAGAAAUAAUCAUUCGCUCACUGUGCUGCAUGAGAAGUCUGAUACCUCAUUUGAUGAACCAGAGACACAUCCUCAUUGUUUUGCCUUUAUGAUUUCUGAAAUUGAAAUGUUUAGUAUAUGUUUCUUUAAUAGGCCUCAUCAUGUUUAUAAUUUAGUGCUAUGAGAACACUAUGUGGCGUUCUUUUGGUGAAAGAGAAAAGGCAAAUUAAAGAAAAAUUACCUUUCUAUUCUCUUGAGGUUGUUCAUUUUUUAGCAAUUAAUAAUACAAAAAAGCAGUGAAAUUUUCAACCGAGUUUUACAAGACGAACUGGGCAUUUUAUCAAUUGCCAUAUAAACUAAAAAGUCCCAAACUGUAAGAUGUUG
rnacentral:lncRNA from 12 species